ensembl:misc_RNA 7SK 7SK RNA
GAAUGUGAGGGGCGAUCUGGCCAUGACAUCUGUCACCCCAUUGAUCGCCAGAGUUGAUUCAGCUGAUCUGGCUGACUAGGCAGAAUUUUUGUUCUGAUUUGUCUUUCCUCUUUGCUUC